GUGCCAGCCGCCGCGGUAAGACGAACCGUGCAAACGUUGUUCGGAAUCACUGGGCUUAAAGGGCGCGUAGGCGGGUCUCCAAGUCGGUGGUGAAAUCUUUCAGCUCAACUGGAAAAGUGCCGCCGAUACUGGGGAUCUCGAGGGAGGUAGGGGUCGAUGGAACUAAUGGUGGAGCGGUGAAAUGCGUAGAUAUCAUUAGGAACGCCGGUGGCGAAAGCGAUCGACUGGACCUCUUCUGACGCUGAGGCGCGAAAGCCAGGGGAGCAAACGGGAUUAGAUACCCCCGUAGUCC
rnacentral:rRNA from 1 species